rnacentral:lncRNA from 1 species
UAUUAUCUGAUGGAAAAAAGUGACAGAUAGGAGAUGUUCCUGGUAGUAAGCUGAGCACUUGGAAAGAUACAUGAGAUGGACUCCAGUCAGAGGUAUCCAAAUGACAAACCGCAAUUGCCUCCACUCUAUCACCAUUUUCACCGCCUAAUGAAACCUUGAACACUUUGCUCUUGCUAAUUGUGUAAUGACAGUAGAAAAUCGCGUAAGCAUAAGGCAUGGUAUGACAAGCCACCAGCUUAGGAGCUGCUACUUCAUGUGGAGCAUCCAGAAUGGUAUACUUUUGAAGCAGGGGAGUUGAGUUUGAGAAAUGAGUUGUGGACAGAGCUUUAAUUUGAGUUUUUUCU